CCCGCCGUCCUCAUCGAAACGGCGGCGACGAUGCAACCGGUGGCUGGAGUCGAUCCGCGGCGCACCCCGUCGCCCCAGCCUUGGACGGCGGUGCGGUACCCGGCACCGGCGAUGGUGAUGCAGCACCCUAUGAUGGCGCCACCGCCGCCGCCACCGCCAUACGGGCAUCCCUUCGUUCCCUACCCCCAUCCCCCGACGCCUCCGCCUCAGCCGCCGUCGAAAUCGAACCGCCACCAGCAGGGCGAGGAGGCGGCGGCGGAGGACGAGAAGCGGACGAUCUGGGUGGGGGACCUCCAGUACUGGAUGGACGAAAACUACCUCCUCGGCUGCUUCGUCCAUGCCGGUGAGGUUGUCUCCAUAAAGGUUAUUCGCAAUAAGCAGACUGGACAAUCAGAGGGUUAUGGGUUUGUUGAGUUCCACUCACAUGCAACGGCUGAAAAAAUACUUCAGAGCUUCAGCGGUCAUCUGAUGCCUAACACAGAUCUGCCAUUUCGGUUAAAUUGGGCACCAUUUAGCAUGGGAAAUAAGCGUUCAGGUCUUACUUUCGAUCACUCUAUUUUUGUAGGUGGUCUUGGACCUGAUGGUGCAUCAGCAACCGGCUCCCAGUCAGAUAUAGAUUCAGCUAAGACAACAGUAUUUGUUGGAGGGCUUGAUCCAGAAGUCAGUGAAGAUGAUCUGAAAGAAGCCUUUUCAUAGUAUGGAGAAAUCACCUCUGUUAAAAUUCCAGUUGGAAAACAAUGUGGUUUUGUUCUUUUUUCCCAUAGAAAUAAUGCUGAAGAAGCAUUGCAACAGUUAAAUGGUACAAUUAUUGGCAAGCAAAUAGUGCGUUUAUCCUGGGGUCACAACCCUGCUAGGCAGAGAUGAAGGAAGCAGAUUGGAGCAGCUCUUGAAAGGAAAACGUAUCCAGUACCAAGUGGCAUGAAGCUUCUUAUGAUUGGGAACAGCCAUGUCCGAGAACCAUAUAUAAAGCGUCAUCAUUUCCGCUGCCCAGACUUGAAGAUUCCAGCUGCUCUCAACUUGCUCUCUGCAGCCCUACUGACCACAUGAAACAAAGUGGGGUUGACGCUCCAGGCUUCAGCUCAUGGAGGUUGCCGGCUACCGAACCUCCGCAACUUUCAAGGAUCAUGCGUUCUUCGACUGCUCAUCUUGUUUGUGUUCUGCAGAUGCAUCGCUAGCCUUGUUGGGCACAGGCAGACAUGCUGAAUUAGCACAGGAUUGCAGUAUCAUCUAAGUGCAGACGAUCCUCAAGUUGAUCAGAACUUUUAUGAUUGUGAUGAGCUGAGCUUCUGAUUACCCCUGCUAGGUUUCUGUGUGAAGUAAUGAUAGAAAGAAAGAAGAACUUUUGUUUUCUUUUUCCUUUUGAUUUUUUGAUUUCUAAUAUUGCGUCAACAGUCCCUGUUCUUGUUUUAAGUUGGCGUUGGUGGCUGAUGGAGCCUCACUUUGUUGAACA